rnacentral:sRNA from 1 species
AACACACGUGCACAGUGAGCAGCUCUGCCCAGCAUAGCUACGCAUCCCUACCAAAGGGGCUAAAGGCCUGGAUGCACUCAGAACACCUACACCUGGAGGUUAAACCUUCAAGUCUCCACUCAAGUCAGCACAGUGUAGUACAUUUAGAAUGAACAGGCUGUGUCGAGUGUCUAAUCCUCGAGCAAUCUAUGCUGUAGAUCACAUGUACUUCUUGGAGUGCUGCUUACUGUGAGAAGAGAUAACCCAGAAGACCACACACUUCAUGUCUACAGUUGUUUUGCUCUGUGUGGAAUGUGAGCCCUCAAUGUGCCAAGGGGGGGGAAGAGGGAGAACAGUUAUUACUGAGGCCACCAAGGACUCAUACUUCCACAUCAGCUAAGCAAUCAGAAUCUCUCCUCCCCUGCCCCCACCCUUGUGUCUCAUCCUCUGCUCAAGCUAAAAGCCUUGUCAACCAACCCUCAGAUCAAGACAGUGACACUGAGGUCCUAGACCACUUGGACUAUGCAGAAAUAUGCCCCCAGGUCAAGACUUUUCAUUGAAUGGGGAUGUUAAGAGGUUGAUUUUGUUCCCUUCCCAAAGAUAUGCUGGAGUCCUGGGCCUUAACCUUGGUUCCCAAGAAGAAGCUUUAUUUGGAUGGAUCUUAGGAGGCAGUUGGGCUAAAGAAAGAUCUUUUGAGGGAACCCGGAUUCUAUGUGACUUAAAAAGGGAAAAUGCACAAAGGUGUGGGGCACACACGGGAAGAUGGCUGCAGACGUUGAGAGGAUGCAGAUGCCCAGGAGCCCUGCGACUGCCAGCAAAGCACAGAGCCAGGAGAGACGUGGGAAGCCCCCUGCUGACACUGACAACUUGAGUUUUGACUCUUAAGUCUCUGCAACUAUGAGACAAGCCUUCCAGUGACUACUGAACAAUGAGAAAGGACAUCCCUAACUAUGGCUGAAACAACACUGAGAAGUAAUAGCCCUGCUCCUCCCUUCUACCAACGUGCCAUGAAACCCACUCCAAGUUGGAGCGCAAGCUGCUCAGAGUGAAGAUCUCCACUGAAAAAGCAGCAGUAGAUAGAUGUUUUCAGUCACUGCGGCCCAGAGUGACUUCCGUCACUCAGCAACGAGAUGAUGGUGAGAGACUUUGCAGAGAAAUUUGUAUUAAAAGCAGAAAAUCAACAUUGUCAUUGUACUUAAAAAGAUAUUAUUAGCUGUGUGUGUGUGUGUGUGUGUGUGUGUGUGUGUGUGUGUGUGUGAGUGACAGUGCACACCUACAAGCCAAAUACUUGGGAGGCAGGAGAAUCGUAAAGUCAAGGUCAGCAUGGACUACACUUUAGAAAAUAAUUGCUAACAAUAACUGCCUCUUCCUAAUUUUAGGGGUCCGAAAAGCUUUGAUUCAGGAGGCGGCCGGUGCUGGUGCUGAUAAACAGACAUUCAGGUGCUGAGAGCAAACGCUGUCAUUCUGGGAAAUGCUCCUGGGCUGCUCAGGGAAGCCUGGCUGGCUGUUCUGGCUUGCCUUUCUGAAAAGGCAGUGGGUUGCCGGUACUCUUCAGGGAAAUGUGUCAAACUUGAUGCAUAGGUGAAGUUCAAAUGUGUUUGAAUUAGGAUCCAUUUUCCGUUAAAAGCCCACUGAGAAUUUCUGUGUUCUGUCUUUCAAAGGGUAACUCUAUCCAGGGUAAUUUAAAUAACACGCCUUCAUUUUCUGUUUGCUGAUUUGCUACUUAAUUGUGGUGGGCUUUUACUUUUUGACUACAGUCAACACCGUAUUUGGACCAAGAUUCUACAGCAAAGUCGGUACUAUGAGUCUUUUAGACAAAAAGCUAGAGAUGGAACCGGCUUUUCCACAAAGCCUCACAACCUGAGUUUGAUCCCUGAUCCCACUCUCACACACAGAGGACAGAUGUGUAGAUGUAAAAAGAAAACAACUAAUGUUAGAACUCUGUCCUUUGACAGCCUAAGGAGUCGCUGCCUGGUAGGACAGAAUGAGACCACAACAGACAGUGUAGAGAGAAGACAGACUCGGAGGCAUAAGCAGAAAUUCACAGUUCGGAGAUGACGGUUAUCCUACUGUCGAGGAAGCCUGAGUUUAAACACAUGGUAGACUGUGUCACAGAUGAAGCCACACCACCAAGAAAAACCAAAGGGUCGGAGGGCAACAUAGUACCAGAAGACAAGAUGUUUUUCAAAGAUGGAUGGGAUGAGGUUAUCAACAAGGACAGGUAAAUUCAAAUACCACUCCACUAAAGCGCUUCCCUAGCUGCCCAGAUCAACUGAGCAAGAGCUCUGCUGUAAACAGUGGGGAUAAAUGACGCACCAGAUGCAGGGGACAUGAAGCCUCCACUGUGUGAACCAGACCAGGGAUUCCCCUGUAGGGCCAGCCACUCUGGGGUUCUCCUUAAGCCCUCAGCCCCCUGCACUGAUCUGCCUACAGGAUGUGUGCAGAAGUAAUGUGUCCAGGUUGAAGUUUCCGCUUCAAUCUCUCUCCUUACUGGCUGAGAUGUCAGGUGAGUCACUGUCCACCAUCACGAUGAGAGAUGGGUGAGAUGGAGGGCCCAACCACCACCAACCCACGCUGGAACAUCUCUCUCCACCUGGCCUUAAACCUUGUGCUAGGAAAUGGAGUUCUGACUUGUUCAAAGCGCUGUAUUUUGGGGUCUCCUCUUUGUUAUGGUAACUUAGCUUCUAGUUUAGCUAAAGCAGAUAUUGGUACCCAGAAAAUGUGUUACUGUGGAAUCAAAUUUAUGUCUCACAAGGCUGGGAAAGCCAACUUCUCUGUACCCAGAAGCAGUUAGGACUCUUGUUCACUCCAAAGUAUUCUUGGGUAAAGGGAGUCAGAAUGUAAGAAUAUAAUAUAUGAUACAGGGAAUUACCCUGAGAAGGAAGGAAAGAAGGAUGGACAAAGGAUACAGGCCAGGUUAGCUUAAACCAUGACCCACGUGGGCUAGAGAGGUGGCUCAGUGGUUAGGGGGAACUGCUGUACAAUCACGAGCACUGCGGUCCACUCCCAUUACCCACAAAGAAGAUUGGCAUCCCAUAAAAUUGCAAAUUAAAAGGCCAGCCUGGGCUACAAAGAGAGACGCCAACUCAAAAUGAAUGAAUGAAUGAAUGAUGCACAGGGUAAAAUAGUUUAUACAUAGCAUCAAUGCCAAGUACAUACACACAUACUUCUAUGUGUUGUAUGUAUGACAAACAGGUCUUGCUAUGUUGCUACUAAUAUAAACUGAAAGCCUUUAUUUCCUGAGA